AUGGACAGCAUCAUCCCAGACAUAGCAGUUGGUACAAAGUGGGGAUCCGACAAGCUCUUUGAGUGUCUCAGCAGUGGCCCCUUCAUCAUGAGCAGCUCGGCCUCAGCAGCCAAUGGAAAUGAUAACAAGAAGUUCAAAGGUGACAACAGGAGCAUAGGAGUUCCCUCCAGAGUCAUCCAUGUCCACAAACCUUCUCUGUGUUCAUUUCAAUGAAGGCCUGGUUCUUCCCUUCAGCAAAAGGAGGUUGUGUAACGUUCCCAUAGGGCAGCCUCAGGGAGAUGACAUGGUCAACUACUACAUGUCGGUGGCACCAGUGCCCAUCUACAUUCAGUUCUCCAACCACAAAGAGCUCAAAACUGACAGCUUGCCCACCAAGCACAUGCCCAGGCAAUCUGCAGGCCGUGAACUCCAUCAAUUCUGGAAACCUAGCCUUGGCAGCCUCCACUGCUUCUAUGGCAAUGGCAGACCAGAGCCCAGGGCUCAGGAUCCUUGUGGAAAACCUGUUUUGCCUAGUGACCCGGGACAUGCUGCACCAGAUCUUCUUUAAGUUUGGCACAGUCCUGAAGAUCAUCACAUUCACCAAGAACAACCAGUUCCAGGCACUGCUACAGUAUGCUGAUCCUGUGAGCGGCCAGUACGCCAAGCUUUCUCCAGAUGGCCAGAACAUCUACAAUGCCUGCUACACGCUGUGUAUCGACUUCUCCAGGCUCACCAGUCUCAACAUCAAAUACAACAAUGACAAGAGCAGAGAUUACACUCAACCUGCCCUGCCCUACCCUCUGGAGACAGCCAGCCUUCACUGGACCAGACCAUGGCAGCAGCCUUUGGCCUCUCUGUCCCUAAAGUCCAUGGAGCCCUGGCCCCAUUGACCAUUCCGUCUGCUGCUAUUGCUAUCCCAGAGAUGGCAAGUGCUGGGAAUUCCAUCCUUUUGGUCAGCAACCUGAACUCUGAGGGAGUCACACCCCAAAACCUCUUUAUUCUCUUCGGUGUCUACAGUGAUGUGCAAUGGGUUAAGAUCCUGUUCAAUAAGGAGAAUGUGCUUGUGCAGAUGGCAGAUGGCAGCCAGGCCCAACUGGCCAUGAGCCACCUGAACCGGCACAAGUUGUACAGGAAGUCAGUAUGCACGCAUCACACUGUCAAAGCAUCAGUGUGCAGAUGCCUCAGAAGAGACAGGAGGAGCAAGGCCUGACCAUUGGCUAUGGCAGCUCACCACUGCACCGCUUCAAGAAACCAGGCUCCAAGAACUUCCAGAACAUCUUUCCACCCUCAGCUACCCUACACCUUUCCAACAUCCCGCCCUCUGUGUCAGAGGACGACCUCAAGAGCCUCUUCUCCAGCAAUGGUGGUGUGGUCAAAGGCUUUAAGUUCUUCCAGAAGGACCACAAGAUGCCACUGAUCCACCUUAUCAAGUGUGACCAGCCAGUAGAUCGAAUCCCAAGUCAUCGAAGCCCUGGCUCCAAAUAG